UAUUGGUCAAUGGACGAGAGUCUGAACCAGCCAUCCCGCGUGCAGGAUGACGGCCCUAUGGGUUGUAAACUGCUUUUCUACUCCAAGAAACCUGGUUACGAGUAAUCAGUUGCCGGUAGAGUAGGAAUAAGUAUCGGCUAACUCCGUGCCAGCAGCCGCGGUAAUACGGAGGAUGCAAGCGUUAUCCGGAUUCAUUGGGUUUAAAGGGUGCGCAGGUGGGCUUGUAAGUCAGUGGUGAAAUGCUGCCGCUUAACGGUAGAAUUGCCAUUGAUACUGUGAGUCUUGAGUAUGGUUGAGGUAGGCGGAAUGUGCAGUGUAGCGGUGAAAUGCAUAGAUAUUGCACAGAACUCCGAUUGCGAAGGCAGCUUACUAAGCCAUUACUGACGCUGAGGCACGAAAGCGUGGGGAGCGAACAGG
rnacentral:rRNA from 1 species